UCUGUGAGUGUGUGUAUUUGUGUCUGUGUUUGAGAGUGUGUGUCUGUGAGUGUGUGUAUUUGUGUGUGUGUUUGAAAGAGUGUGUGUCUGUGAGUGUGUGUAUUUGUGUGUGUGUUUGAGAGAGUGUGUGUCUGUGAGUGUGUGUAUUUGUGUGUGUGUUUGAGAGUGUGUGUCUGUGAGUGUGUGUAUUUG